rnacentral:rRNA from 1 species
CGAGUUAACUGACCCUUCGGGUGACGUUAACGGCGUCNAGCGGCGGACGGGUGAGUAAUGCCUGGGAAUAUGCCUUGAUGUGGGGGAUAACCAUUGGAAACGAUGGCUAAUACCGCAUAAUGCCUUCGGGCCAAAGAGGGGGAUCUUCGGACCUCUCGCGUCAAGAUUAGCCCAGGUGGGAUUAGCUAGUUGGUGAGGUAAUGGCUCACCAAGGCGACGAUCCCUAGCUGGUCUGAGAGGAUGAUCAGCCACACUGGAACUGAGACACGGUCCAGACUCCUACGGGAGGCAGCAGUGGGGAAUAUUGCACAAUGGGCGCAAGCCUGAUGCAGCCAUGCCGCGUGUGUGAAGAAGGCCUUCGGGUUGUAAAGCACUUUCAGUCGUGAGGAAGGUGGUGUAGUUAAUAGCUGCAUCAUUUGACGUUAGCGACAGAAGAAGCACCGGCUAACUCCGUGCCAGCAGCCGCGGUAAUACGGAGGGUGCGAGCGUUAAUCGGAAUUACUGGGCGUAAAGCGCAUGCAGGUGGUUAGUUAAGUCAGAUGUGAAAGCCCGGGGCUCAACCUCGGAACUGCAUUUGAAACUGGCUGACUAGAGUACUGUAGAGGGGGGUAGAAUUUCAGGUGUAGCGGUGAAAUGCGUANAGAUCUGAAGGAAUACCGGUGGCGAAGGCGGCCCCCUGNNCAGAUACUGACACUCAGAUGCGAAAGCGUGGGGAGCAAACAGGAUUAGAUACCCU